UCCGGCUUAACGCCGGCAGUCUCCCUAGAGUGGCCAACUGAAUGAUGGCAACUAAGGACGAGGGUUGCGCUCGUUGCGGGACUUAACCCAACAUCUCGCGACACGAGCUGACGACAGCCAUGCAGCGCCUGUCACCGCGUCCCCGAAGGGAACCCUGGAUCUCUCCAGGUAGCGCGGGAUGUCAAACGCUGGUAAGGUUCUGCGCGUUGCUUCGAAUUAAACCACAUGCUCCACCGCUUGUGCAGGCCCCCGUCAAUUCCUUUGAGUUUUAAUCUUGCGACCGUACUCCCCAGGCGGAUAACUUAAUGCGUUAGCUGCGCCACCCAGGCACCAAGUGCCCGGACAGCUAGUUAUCAUCGUUUACGGCGUGGACUAC
rnacentral:misc_RNA from 1 species